UGAGUCUGCUGGCCCUGCUGUGAGGAGGGAGGGACAGGAAGCAGCGAGCUGAAACUGCAGAAAGAGCCAGAGCUGUGUGGAGGGACUCACAGAACUGCAAGUUAGCAAAGGAAGAGAUAACUGAAUCUCAGAACUGAUGCACUCCCAACUCUUAAAUGCUGGCACUGCUUCUUAACUGCUUGCUCAGUGGAGGAUAUUCUUCCUUAUAUAGGUCUUUUCAGAAACUGCCAACACCUGCCAGCUCCUCUGCUGGGUCAGUGGGGAUGACCACAGGAUGUUUCUCCACUCGGAUCCCACAGACAACCUGGGCCCAUUGGUUUUUCCGGGCGUGUUUGACCCCUGACAUCACCAGGCUUUGAAGGAGGAGAGGUUGUUUUUCUGAGGAAAAUGGCAGUGCCACACCAGCCCAGGCACUGGGGUGAUUUGUCAGUGGAAAAACACCUGGGCAGAGCUGGCCUGGGCCACUGAAGGACAGAGCACUCGGAUCCUUUUUGGGAGCUGCUGUUCCAAGAAAAGGGGCAGCUGGGCCCAGUGCCAGGCAGGCUGUGAGGAGCUCCCGCAGCAGCCCUGCUGAGCAGCUUCAUCUUCUCAAUGUCAAGGGCUUCUAGGAAGUUCUGCAGGGCAAAUAACCACAACCAUCACCAAAGCCUUCUGUGAAAUGUUUGUGCUCCACACAAUGUCCUCAGCUCGGUGGCUGCUGUUGGUGCUGCUCACGUUUGUGCUGAUGGGGCAUUUCUUGGGCUGUUUACAGGAGAUGCAGAACAGCUCUCUGUGACAUCCUGACAGUCACACCAUGGCCUGGGUCAGCGGGGACAUUAAGGAUCAUCUCAUUCCACUGUCCCAGGCUGCUCCAAGCCCUGGUGUCCAGCCUGGCCUUGGGCACUGCCAGGGAUCCAGGGGCAGCCACAGCUGCUCUGGGCACCCUGUGCCAGGCCCUGCCCACCCUCACAGGGAAGGAUUUCUUCCUAAUAUCUGACUUAAAGUUCCCCUCUGCCAGCUGAAAGCCAUUCCCCUUUGUCCUCUCACUACUUGCUUUUGUAGUCUCUCAUAUAUAUAUACACACACACACACAGAAAAAUAUAUAUCCACUAGUCAUGUCACCAAUAAGUAAUCAUUUUUAGAAACUCAUUUGUUUGAAAUAGAAAUGGUUUAUGAGAUGAAACAAAACAUUGUCAUCUACUCACUUCAUGUGCACUCUUUAACCUGAGUCUGUGUCUGUGUGCACAUCCACACCUCCCUCUGGAGAUGACAGAGGAGCCCUGUGUGUCCCUGUGUGCAGGGAGGGGCAGAGCAGGGCCCAGGCUCCCUCACUAGGAAUAUUCCAGAACCACCAAUCCCAUGCCCCGUGCUCUGGGAUGGCCCUGCUGGAGCAGGGAGGUGGCACCAGAUGACCCCACAGUGGUCCCUCCCAGCCUGAGCCCUCCUGGGAUUCUGUGAGCUAACACAAAGCAGGAUUCUCAGUGAGAGUUUUCAAAUCUCUUCAUGGCCACUUAACAGGGUGAUCUCUGUGCCAAAGUUCCAAGAGCAGAACAGCCCCCAGAAACCUGCUGUACCUGCAGUCCCUGGGCAGUCUGACCACCGGGGAGAGAGCAAAGCCCUGGCAAAGGUCCUGGCUUUGUAGCUGCUCAUGCAGCCUUGAAAUGAAAAGCAAAGCAGCUGAAGUUUCUUUGGCCGCUGACAGAUGCAAAGCCAAGUGCUUUUUUUUUUUUUUUUUUUUUUUCCCUGCAGAACCAUUGAAGUCUCCCCAUGUGUUACCACUUUGCAGUUGGAAUAAAGGCCCCCUGCCAGCUGCUGCAUCCUUGCUGCUGUUUCCUCUCCAGAUCCAUGGCCUAGCCAGGUGUACACACAGUUAUCCCCUCUCAGGUGAGCCCCUGCUGCUCAGACACUGUGUGCCCACAAUUUGCUUUCCUGCUCUGUCCCAACCCCAGACAGCCCAGCCCUGGCAGCUGCCUCUGCUUCCGGUGCCUUUGGGAUGGAGCUGAGGGGAAAUCCUCAUUUUUGCUGCAGAUGAAAAUUGCUCUCUUCCUGUCCCAGAUGUGCUGUGUGUCCCCAGUUUUGCUGCACUGCAGCAUUCCCCGGGUACCCACAGAGGCGCCCUGAUCAGGUGGUGGUUAUCCAGUGUGCAGCUCAGAGGAAGAAAAUAGAUUUUUUCCAGCAGCCUGGGUGUCACAAAGCCUCCCAAAUCAAUGCUCUGGCGAGGUGGAAAAUUUGUUCAGAAGUGCCAAACUGUAGCAAGGAAUGAAGUUCUGAGAGCACAGAUUGAUGAAAAUUUUCUGUGAGAGAUGCAGAACUUUCCAGACAGGAGGACUAAAGCUGGGAGUACACGAUUAUUGUUCCUUUAUUUUAACGUUGUUCACCACCUGCUCGAGCCUGAGGCACACGGCACGAGCUCUGAUCCGGGCUGAAUCCCCCCCAGGACACAGACACUCUCUGGCUCUCCCUUUCUUUUCCUCCCAUGUCCUUUGAAGCACAGACAUCAGUGAUUCUGCGGGAAUCAGAGAACUCCUACUCAUAAUCACACCUUAACAAGGACGAGCACUGUGCUUUAUUCACUCACUAGAAUGGAGUGGAAGGGGGGAUCCAUCACAAUAUUUGGGAGCGCUGGUGAUCCCCGAGUGCCUCAGCAUGGGGCUGAGGGC